rnacentral:rRNA from 1 species
GACGAACGCUGGCGGCGUGCUUAACACAUGCAAGUCGAACGGAAAGGCCCUGCUUUUGUGGGGUGCUCGAGUGGCGAACGGGUGAGUAACACGUGAGUAACCUGCCCUUGACUUUGGGAUAACUUCAGGAAACUGGGGCUAAUACCGGAUAGGAGCUCCUGCUGCAUGGUGGGGGUUGGAAAGUUUCGGCGGUUGGGGAUGGACUCGCGGCUUAUCAGCUUGUUGGUGGGGUAGUGGCUUACCAAGGCUUUGACGGGUAGCCGGCCUGAGAGGGUGACCGGCCACAUUGGGACUGAGAUACGGCCAAGACGCCUACGGGAGGCAGCAGUGGGGAAUAUUGCACAAUGGGCGGAAGCCUGAUGCAGCAACGCCGCGUGCGGGAUGACGGCCUUCGGGUUGUAAACCGCUUUCGCCUGUGACGAAGCGUGAGUGACGGUAAUGGGUAAAGAAGCACCGGCUAACUACGUG